UGUAAUAAAAGUACUCGAUCUGCUUGCACACUAACCCUUACUGUUUACCUAAACAGAUGAGUAUAUCUACCUUCUCUGUAAGACUUAAAGAUUCACUGACUGGUCACCAUUCUGUCGCCACCAUCUCUAGCUCAGGAAUUUACGUCUAGGUGUCCGAGUCACUGUCAUCAAUCUUACCAAGAGUGACAACUGAUUGUGUCAAGGUCUGUUUCGUGUCUCCUACUGCCUUGACAAUACCGUCUGUAAACUAACCGCUGUUUAUUCAGUUUGAGUGUUAAGGAAACUCAUUUUAUUAUUUAAAGGAAGGUUAUAUUUAAAUUAACAAUUUCCAAAGGACUAUCCAGAAUUGAUUUUACUGCUUCGAUACUGUUUUGAAACACUACAAGCUAUUAGUACAAAGUUAGUUCACGAAGACACUUUCCGAAGUGAAGACACUAGAAGAGAAGACACAAGCAGAAGUGAAGUAACCAUGAAGACAUAUCAUGUCGCAUCAGCUCUGUUGUGCUUCUUAGCGUUGCCUUUAAUAACCUCCGGCUGCUUGGAGGAAUGCAUGAGAAAGUUUACUGCAGAGAUGUCUGCCUUCAAUUCAAACGAGACAACCAAUGGCACAGCACAGAUGACAUCUAGCUUCUGUAGGUACGUAGAAUACUUUAAAAAUAUUUUAUUUUUUUUAGCGUUACUUUUUACUGUACUGUAAUUGUCCUUGGACUCUAAUGACCAGAAUAUGCUAAACACAACAGUCACAGACACAG
rnacentral:sRNA from 1 species